GACUCUCGGCAACGGAUAUCUCGGCUCUCGCAUCGAUGAAGAACGUAGCGAAAUGCGAUACCUGGUGUGAAUUGCAGAAUCCCGCGAACCAUCGAGUCUUUGAACGCAAGUUGCGCCCGAGGCCACUCGGUCGAGGGCACGCCUGCCUGGGCGUCA
rnacentral:rRNA from 1 species